rnacentral:rRNA from 1 species
AGCGCAACCCUUGUCUUUAGUUGCCAUCAUUAAGUUGGGCACUCUAGAGAGACUGCCAGGGAUAACCUGGAGGAAGGUGGGGAUGACGUCAAAUCAUCAUGCCCCUUAUGCUUAGGGCUACACACGUGCUACAAUGGGUAGUACAGAGGGUUGCCAAGCCGUAAGGUGGAGCUAAUCCCUUAAAGCUACUCUCAGUUCGGAUUGUAGGCUGAAACUCGCCUACAUGAAGCUGGAGUUACUAGUAAUCGCAGAUCAGAAUGCUGCGGUGAAUGCGUUCCCGGGUCUUGUACACACCGCCCGUCACACCACGGGAGUUGGAGACGCCCGAAGCCGACUAUCUAACCUUUUGGAAGAAGUCGUCGAAGGUGGAAUCAAUAACUGGGGUGAAGUCGUAACAAGGUAGCCGUAUCGGAAGGUGCGGCUGGAUCACCUCCUUUCUAAGGA